UACGGGGGGAGCAAGCGUUGUUCGGAUUUACUGGGCGUAAAGGGCGCGUAGGCGGCCAGCACAAGUCAGGUUGUGAAAUCUCCGAGCUUAACUCGGAAAGGUCAACUGAUACUGUGCGGCUAGAGUGCGGAAGGGGCAACUGGAAUUCUUGGUGUAGCGGUGAAAUGCGUAGAUAUCAAGAGGAACACCUGCGGCGAAGGCGGGUUGCUGGGCCGACACUGACGCUGAGGCGCGAAAGCCAGGGGAGCGAACGGG
rnacentral:rRNA from 1 species